rnacentral:tRNA from 1 species
GGUGGCAUAGCUCAGUGGUAGAGCACAUGCUUAGCCCACAGGAGGUCCUGGGUUCAAUCCCCAGUACCGCCA